rnacentral:tRNA from 5 species
GGAAGCGUGGCUGAGCGGUUGAAGGCACCGGUCCUGAAAACCGGAGACUCCUAACGGGGUCCGGAGGUUCGAAUCCUCCCGCUUCCG